AUACGUAGGUGACAAGCGUUAUCCGGAUUUACUGGGCGUAAAGGGCGUGUAGGCGGUCUUGCAAGUCAGAAGUGAAAUUCCUGAGCUCAACUCGGGCGCUGCUUCUGAAACUGCAGGACUUGAGUGCUGGAGGGGAUAGCGGAAUUCCUAGUGGAGCGGUAAAAUGCGCAGAUAUUAGGAAGAACACCGGUGGCGAAGGCGGCUAUCUGGACAGUAACUGACGCUGAGGCGCGAAAGCGUGGGGAGCAAACAGGAUUAGAUACCCUGGUAGUCCAUGCCGUAAACGAUGAAUACUAGGUGUAGGGGGUAUCGACUCCCUCUGUGCCGCAGUUAACACAAUAAGUAUUCCGCCUGGGGAGUACGGCCGCAAGGUUGAAACUCAAAUGAAUUGACGGGG
rnacentral:rRNA from 1 species